rnacentral:rRNA from 1 species
UACAGAGGUCCCAAGCGUUGUUCGGAUUCACUGGGCGUAAAGGGUGCGUAGGUGGUCAGGUAAGUCUGAUGUGAAAGCUCUGGGCUCAACCCAGGAAUGGCAUUGGAUACUAUCUGGCUAGAGGAAUGGAGGGGGGACUGGAAUACUUGGUGUAGCAGUGAAAUGCGUAGAUAUCAAGUGGAACACCAGUGGCGAAGGCGAGUCCCUGGACAUUACCUGACACUGAGGCACGAAAGCUAGGGGAGCAAACAGG